UACGUAUGGGGCAAGCGUUAUCCGGAUUUACUGGGUAUAAAGGGAGCGUAGGCGGCAUGGCAAGUCAGAAGUGAAAGCCUGGGGCUCAACCCCGGAAUUGCUUUUGAAACUGUCAGGCUAGAGUGUCGGAGGGGUAAGCGGAAUUCCUAGUGUAGCGGUGAAAUGCGUAGAUAUUAGGAGGAACACCGGUGGCGAAGGCGGCUUACUGGACGAUUACUGACGCUGAGGCUCGAAAGCGUGGGGAGCAAACAGG
rnacentral:rRNA from 1 species